rfam:Nicotiana attenuata strain TT chromosome 10, whole genome shotgun sequence.
AUGUAUAACAAUGCCUUUUUGUUUCUAAUAUCUUCUGAGCCCGCUAAAUACUCCGAAGUUUAGCAUGUUUGGGGGAGAGUAGUACUAGGAUGGAUGACCUUCUUGGAAGUCCUCGUGUUGCAUCCC